CAGUUUAGAGACACGUGCUUCCCCCUGCAGAUUUAUUUGCAUCACUAAUUGAGCUUGGGCCGCGACGCAGCAAGACAAACAGCCUUCGAUGUGCCCAUCCGAUAAGAGCACUGAGCUUGUCAUGCAGGAAUUCAUGAAGUAAGAGGAUAAAGCUGCAAGGCUACAGGAGCUGAGAGUGAGAGUGACAUUCACCAUAAAAACUGAAGAACGUCUGCCUUAUCAAAGCUUUCAGCAGUCAGCUCUGGAAGAUGGAGAGUCGGUGCCAGAUCCCCAGGAGCAGACUUGGUCCAUGAAAUGAACUCAGCAUGAGAGCAACAUGGGGUAACAACAGCUUCUG